rnacentral:rRNA from 1 species
CACACGACUCUCGGCAACGGAUAUCUCGGCUCUCGCAUCGAUGAAGAAUGUAGCGAAAUGCGAUACCUGGUGUGAAUUGCAGAAUCCCGCGAACCAUCGAGUCUUUGAACGCAAGUUGCGCCCGAGGCCACUCGGCCGAGGGCACGCCUGCCUGGGCGUCACGC